GACGAACGCUGGCGGCGUGCUUAACACAUGCAAGUCGAACGGUGAAGCACCUUCCUUUUGGUGGGUGUGGAUGAGUGGCGAACGGGUGAGUAACACGUGAGUAACCUGCCCCCUUCUUCUGGAUAACCGCAUGAAAGUGUGGCUAAUACGGGAUAUUCUGGGUCUGUCGCAUGGCGGGCCUGGGAAAGAUAUUGUUUCGGUGGGGGAUGGGCUCGCGGUCUAUCAGCUUGUUGGUGGGGUGAUGGCCUACCAAGGCGGUGACGGGUAGCCGGCCUGGGAGGGUGGACGGUCACACAGGGGCUGAGACACGGCCCAGACUCCUACGGGAGGCAGCAGUGGGGAGUAUUGCACAAUGGGCGAAAGCCUGAUGCAGCGACGCCGCGUGAGGGAUGGAGGCCUGCGGGUUGUAAACCUCUUUCGCCAGUGAAGCAGGCCUGUCCCUUUUGUGGGUGGGUUGACGGUAGCUGGAUAAGAAGCGCCGGCUAACUACGUG
rnacentral:rRNA from 1 species